rnacentral:rRNA from 1 species
UACGUAGGGUGCAAGCGUUGUCCGGAAUCAUUGGGCGUAAAGCGCGCGUAGGUGGUCAUGUAAGUCCGCUGUGAAAGUCAAAGGCUCAACCUUCGAAAGCCGGUGGAUACUGCAUGACUAGAGUACGGAAGAGGCGAGUGGAAUUCCUGGUGUAGCGGUGGAAUGCGCAGAUAUCAGGAGGAACACCAAUAGCGAAGGCAGCUCGCUGGGACGUUACUGACACUGAGGCGCGAAAGCGUGGGGAGCGAACAGG